rnacentral:rRNA from 1 species
CCUACGGGGUGCACCAGUGGGAAUAUUGCACAAUGGGCGCAAGCCUAAUGCAGCCAUGCCGCGUGUGUGAAGAAGGCCUUCGGGUUGUAAAGCACUUUCAGCGGGGAGGAAGGCGCCAAGGUUAAUAACCUUGGCGAUUGACGUUACCCGCAGAAGAAGCACCGGCUAACUCCGUGCCAGCAGCCGCGGUAAUACGGAGGGUGCAAGCGUUAAUCGGAACUACUGGGCGUAAAGCGCACGCAGGCGGUUUGUUAAGUCAGAUGUGAAAUCCCCGGGCUCAACCUGGGAACUGUAUUUGAAACUGGCAAGCUAGAGUCUCGUAGAGGGGGGUAGAAUUCCAGGUGUAGCGGUGAAAUGCGUAGAGAUCUGGAGGAAUACCGGUGGCGAAGGCGGCCCCCUGGACGAAGACUGACGCUCAGGUGCGAAAGCGUGGGGAGCAAACAGGAUUAGAUACCCGCGUAGUC